UGAACGCUAGCUACAGGCUUAACACAUGCAAGUCGAGGGGCAGCAUGGUCUUAGCUUGCUAAGGCCGAUGGCGACCGGCGCACGGGUGAGUAACACGUAUCCAACCUGCCGUCUACUCUUGGACAGCCUUCUGAAAGGAAGAUUAAUACAAGAUGGCAUCAUGAGUCCGCAUGUUCACAUGAUUAAAGGUAUUCCGGUAGACGAUGGGGAUGCGUUCCAUUAGAUAGUAGGCGGGGUAACGGCCCACCUAGUCUUCGAUGGAUAGGGGUUCUGAGAGGAAGGUCCCCCACAUUGGAACUGAGACACGGUCCAAACUCCUACGGGAGGCAGCAGUGAGGAAUAUUGGUCAAUGGGCGAGAGCCUGAACCAGCCAAGUAGCGUGAAGGAUGACUGCCCUAUGGGUUGUAAACUUCUUUUAUAAAGGAAUAAAGUCGGGUAUGGAUACCCGUUUGCAUGUACUUUAUGAAUAAGGAUCGGCUAACUCCGUGCCAGCAGCCGCGGUAAUACGGAGGAUCCGAGCGUUAUCCGGAUUUAUUGGGUUUAAAGGGAGCGUAGAUGGAUGUUUAAGUCAGUUGUGAAAGUUUGCGGCUCAACCGUAAAAUUGCAGUUGAUACUGGAUAUCUUGAGUGCAGUUGAGGCAGGCGGAAUUCGUGGUGUAGCGGUGAAAUGCUUAGAUAUCACGAAGAACUCCGAUUGCGAAGGCAGCCUGCUAAGCUGCAACUGACAUUGAGGCUCGAAAGUGUGGGUAUCAAACAGGAUUAGAUACCCUGGUAGUCCACACGGUAAACGAUGAAUACUCGCUGUUUGCGAUAUACUGCAAGCGGCCAAGCGAAAGCGUUAAGUAUUCCACCUGGGGAGUACGCCGGCAACGGUGAAACUCAAAGGAAUUGACGGGGGCCCGCACAAGCGGAGGAACAUGUGGUUUAAUUCGAUGAUACGCGAGGAACCUUACCCGGGCUUAAAUUGCAGAUGAAUUACGGUGAAAGCCGUAAGCCGCAAGGCAUCUGUGAAGGUGCUGCAUGGUUGUCGUCAGCUCGUGCCGUGAGGUGUCGGCUUAAGUGCCAUAACGAGCGCAACCCUUGUUGUCAGUUACUAACAGGUUCCGCUGAGGACUCUGACAAGACUGCCAUCGUAAGAUGUGAGGAAGGUGGGGAUGACGUCAAAUCAGCACGGCCCUUACGUCCGGGGCUACACACGUGUUACAAUGGGGGGUACAGAGGGCCGCUACCACGCGAGUGGAUGCCAAUCCCCAAAACCUCUCUCAGUUCGGACUGGAGUCUGCAACCCGACUCCACGAAGCUGGAUUCGCUAGUAAUCGCGCAUCAGCCACGGCGCGGUGAAUACGUUCCCGGGCCUUGUACACACCGCCCGUCAAGCCAUGGGAGCCGGGGGUACCUGAAGUGCGUAACCGCGAGGAGCGCCCUAGGGUAAAACUGGUGACUGGGGC
rnacentral:rRNA from 1 species